UAAUACGUAGGGUGCUAGAGUUGUCCGGAUUUACUGGGUGUAAAGGGUGCUCAGGUGGAUUUGUAAGUCAGAGGUGAAAUCCCAAAGCUUAACUUUGGUGCUGCCUUUGAUACUGCAAGUCUAGAGUUUGAGAGAGGGCAAUGGAAUAUCUGGUGUAGCAGUGAAAUGCGUAGAUAUCAGAUAGAACACCAAUGGCGAAGGCAGUUGCCUGGCUCAAAACUGACGCUAAAGCACGAAAGUGUGGGGAGCAAACAGGAUUAGAUACCCUGGUAGUCCACACCCUAAACGAUGAAUACUAGAUGUUGGUCCUUUUUAGGAUCAGUAUCCAAGCUAACGCAUUAAGUAUUCCACCUGGGAAGUACAAUCGCAAGGUUG
rnacentral:rRNA from 1 species